CAACGGUGUUGGAUACAUUUGGUGGAGAUGUCGGGACAAGUGCGAGGUUAUGGCCACACCUAGCUCCCAGAAGACUCAUGUUCCAGUGAACUCGUGUUUAACUGACCAUUCUAAGGCGCCAAUCCAAAAAUUUAUCGGAGCUGGUCAUGGACCUUUGCCGUCCUUCAUCCAGAGCCUUCUACAGCGAUGGCAGAUAUAUUGCUGCUCGGAUCAACACUUGACCACGCCGUUGAGUCCAGGAUCUCAGUAGCAGCCAUGACAACAUCAACAGAAUGACAUCUGCCUAUGGAU